rnacentral:rRNA from 1 species
GACGAACGCUGGCGGCGUGCUUAACACAUGCAAGUCGAACGGAAAGGCCCUGCUUUUGUGGGGUGCUCGAGUGGCGAACGGGUGAGUAACACGUGAGUAACCUGCCCUUGACUUUGGGUUAACUUCAGGAAACUGGGGCUAAUACCGGAUAGGAGCUCCUGCUGCAUGGUGGGGGUUGGAAAGUUUCGGCGGUUGGGGAUGGACUCGCGGCUUAUCAGCUUGUUGGUGGGGUAGUGGCUUACCAAGGCUUUGACGGGUAGCCGGCCUGAGAGGGUGACCGGCCACAUGGGGACUGAGAUACGGCCCAGACUCCUACGGGAGGCAGCAGUGGGGAAUAUUGCACAAUGGGCGGAGGCCUGAUGCAGCAACGCCGCGUGCGGGAUGACGGCCUUCGGGUGGUAAACCGCUUUCGCCUGUGACGAAGCGUGAGUGACGGUAAUGGGUAAAGAAGCACCGGCUAACUACGU